AGGUUGGACUGAGGCUUUCCCCAUCAAAUGUGAAACUACAUCCACAGUGACAAAGAAGCUCUUAAAGGCAUACUGCCAAGGUCCCCCUCCAGUCAAGGGUCAUUAGAGCCUCGUUGAAAGAUCCCGGUGUUAUCACCUCAACCACACUGAUAGCCCUGAAGGUCAACAUGAUUGCACUGAGGAAACACCACACACACGAUUGCUGUUGAAGAUGACCCUGACCAACAAACAGGAAGAAACUCAGCCUCAGCACUCUCCCCUGUCUCCCACUGUUGGGGACCUAGCCAAGCACCAGGGAUACCAUGAGAAAAACAAACAUUAUAAUGGGCUGAGACAAAUAAUAAACAGUAAUAUAAAAAACUUGAGACUAUUCAGCUUAUGGUCAUAAAGAGUCACUAUCAGUCCCUUCAUAAAGAAGCCUGUAAGUUUC
rnacentral:lncRNA from 1 species